CAGCAAAACAAAGAUAAUUAUAUGCUGUCAGGAACCAGACUGCUUUUAGGACUUUUUCCCCGCUUGGGGCUAUGUAUCUCCAUUAUAGGAUUUUGUUGUUUUGGUAUACGUGUCUUAACCAUCUCUCUUUUUUUCUCUUCUUGCUUAGUAUUUCUACCCUCUCCUAUUUUUUUGCUAAAAUGUAGCCAAUAGUGGAAUCUUAUCUCCCUUUUUGAUAUAACCAAUGCCAUUAGUUUGUGAUAAUUGUUUCAUUGUCUUGAUAAUCCUUACCUAAAAUUCUAGAGACCUAAUCAUAAUAUUCCAAUUAGCCAUCUGUGCCAGUCUACUUUAAAGAUGAUUGAACCUAGCACAGUCAGUAGCCUGGACAGUCACUUAUUAAUUGCCGUGGGUAAUUUGAAAAAUAUAUUUUUAAGAGCAUGAAAUUCAGUGUGACUAUAUUUUAGACUUGAGUUAAAUCCAAAUGAUAAUGGAUUAGGGGAUUCAUUGCACCUUAAAAAAAAAAGAAGAA
rnacentral:lncRNA from 1 species